UAACUUAAGAGUUUGAUUAUGGCUCAGAACGAACGCUGGCGGCAUGCCUCAUACAUGCAAGUCGAACGAGGUCUUCGGACCUAGUGGCGCACGGGUGAGUAACAUGUGGGAAUCUACCUGAAGGUUCGGAAUAACUGCGGGAAACUGUAGCUAAUACCGGAUGUGUCUGCAAAGAGAAAGAUUUAUCGCCUUCAGAUGAGCCCGCACUAGAUUAGCUAGUUGGUGAGGUAAUUGCUCCACCAAGGCUCCGAUCUAUAGCUGAUUUGAGAGGAUGAUCAGCCACACUGGGACUGAGACACGGCCCAGACUCCUACGGGAGGCAGCAGUAGGGAAUAUUGGACAAUGGGGGAAACCCUGAUCCAGCAAUGCCGCGUGAGUGAAGAAGGCCUUCGGGUUGUAAAGCUCUUUCAUAAAUGAUGAUAAUGACAUUAGUUUAAGAAGAAGCCCCGGCUAACUUCGUGCCAGCAGCCGCGGUAAUACGAAGGGGGCUAGCGUUGUUCGGAAUCACUGGGCGUAAAGCGUAUGUAGGCGGAUCAAAAAGUUAGAUGUGAAAUCCCUGGGCUCAACCCAGGAACUGCAUUUAAAACUAGUGAUCUAGAAUUUGGUAGGGGCCAGUAGAAUUUCCAGUGUAGAGGUGAAAUUCGUAGAUAUUGGAAAGAAUACCAGUGGCGAAGGCGACUGGCUGGGCCAUUUUUGACGCUGAGAUACGAAAGCGUGGGUAGCAAACAGGAUUAGAUACCCUGGUAGUCCACGCAGUAAACGAUGAGUGCUAGUCGCUGGGACAAUAGUUUCAGUGUCGAAGCUAACGCAUUAAGCACUCCGCCUGGGAAGUACGGUCGCAAGAUUAAAACUCAAAUAAAUUGACGGGGGCCCGCACAAGCGGUGGAGCAUGUGGUUUAAUUCGAAGCAACGCGAAGAACCUUACCAGACCUUGACAUGGUGUGUUUGAAUUACAGAAUCGUAAUUCUUCAGUUCGGCUGGCACACACACAGGUGCUGCAUGGCUGUCGUCAGCUCGUGUCGUGAGAUGUUGGGUUAAGUCCCGCAACGAGCGCAACCCUCAUUCUUAGUUGCCAUCAGGUUAUGCUGGGCACUCUAAGAAAACUGCCGGUGAUAAGCUGGAGGAAGGCGGGGAUGACGUCAAGUCCUCAUGGCCCUUACGGUCUGGGCUACACACGUGCUACAAUGGUGGUGACAGUGGGCAGCAAUACUGCAAAGUAAAGCUAAUCCCAAAAAACCAUCUCAGUUCGGAUUGGACUCUGCAACUCGAGUCCAUGAAGUUGGAAUCGCUAGUAAUCGUAGAUCAGCGUGCUACGGUGAAUACGUUCUCGGGCCUUGUACACACCGCCCGUCACGCCAUGGGAGUUGGUUUUACCUUAAGCCGGUGCGCUAACCGCAAGGAAGCAGCCGUCCACGGUAGGGUCAGCGACUGGGGCGAAGUCGUAACAAGGUAACCGUAGGGGAACCUGCGGUUGGAUCACCUCCUUU
rnacentral:rRNA from 1 species